CAGGCUCUUGGGGAUGAUCUGCUGGCAGAGGACCUGGAAAGUCUUGGGGUCAUUGCCAUGACUCCCAAAGAAUCAGCAGCAGCUCUGAAAAAAUGGUGCUGAGGCGCAACCAAUGGCAAGCAAUUCAGUCCGAUGAUCACUUGAUCAGGAAAUAGGACUUAGACGGAGAUUGGUAAGCCUGACCGGAAGUUCUCUUGGGACGGCACUGAUACCUAUGCAUAGGUUGACCAAAAGACAUCUCGCACACAGUCACUGUAGUCUAGGGUAGUCCCAUGGACUUUGGCAAAAUCAAUUACUAUUUGUUGAUGGGAAUUGAGAGGUCCAUUGCUCUCUGUAGAAUUUGUGCAACAUGUGAUGUCUGUACCAAUAUAAAUAGGCUCUCUGAGGUCAAGAGAGCUCCAGAGCAAAGUGCCCUGUGGGCCGUUGCAGGACCACAACCGCAGCAGAUCAUGGUGUGUGCUAAUACUGCAGAUAAUGGGAUUUAUAUCCAUUGCUGGCACAAGUUGAUUCUAUGGUGCGUUGUGACUGCCAGUGCUGAUGCAUGAGAUCUUCUACAGUUGCACCUUGUGGAUAAACCGUUUACUGUGACAGCACGUGCUCUGAUCAUCAUUUGCAUCAUGAACAUCAUGACAGGUGCACCGGUUGUAUGCGGCGAUGAAUGACCCACAUGUAUUUCAGAUUCCUCAGACUCUGCUGGCAACGUCGUGUGAUAGCAGCUA
rnacentral:lncRNA from 1 species